AUUGAACGCUGGCGGCAUGCCUUACACAUGCAAGUCGAACGGCAGCGGACCUUCGGGUGCCGGCGAGUGGCGAACGGGUGAGUAAUAUAUCGGAACGUACCUUUCAGUGGGGGAUAACGUAGCGAAAGUUACGCUAAUACCGCAUAUUCUGUGAGCAGGAAAGCAGGGGAUCGCAAGACCUUGCGCUGAUUGAGCGGCCGAUAUCAGAUUAGCUAGUUGGUGAGGUAAAGGCUCACCAAGGCGACGAUCUGUAGCGGGUCUGAGAGGAUGAUCCGCCACACUGGAACUGAGACACGGUCCAGACUCCUACGGGAGGCAGCAGUGGGGAAUUUUGGACAACGGGCGCAAGCCUGAUCCAGCCAUGCCGCGUGAGUGAAGAAGGCC
rnacentral:rRNA from 1 species